rnacentral:rRNA from 1 species
GAAGGGGGCACGCAACCAGGUUGAGUCAAGCGUUGUGCCUACAAGCACAGCCCAAGUAACACCCGUAACACCGAACGCGCUUAACCCGCGCAGUUCGACUACUUCUUCCCAGAUUGGUUGUGGCGUUUCGCUCCCGAAACGAUACAACAACAAGUCAUGCCUGAUGACCACAGCGAGUUGGUACCACCCCUUCCCAUCCCGAACAGGACCGUGAAACGACUCCACGCCGAUGAUAGUGCGGAUCUCCCGUGUGAAAGUAGGUAAUCGUCAGGC